AAGAAAAUUACAAAUGUUGGAGGGGAUAUGGGAAAAUUGGGACAUUAAUUCAAUUGUUGUUAGAGUUGUAAACCAAUCCAACUAUUCUAAAGAGCAAUUUGGAACUAACCCACAAAGCUAAAAUAUCGCAUAUCCUUUGACUUAGAAACACUACUAGGUCUACAUUCUGAAGAGAUUUUUAAAAAUUUGUUUUACGAAAAAAGACCUAUAGGCAUAAAAUAUAGCAGCUCUUUUUGUGGUAGCUAAGAAUAGGAAAUUGAGGGGAUGCCUAUCAACUGGACAAGUUGUGGUAUAUGGUUGUGAUGGAAUACUUUUGAGAUUAGCAAGAUGCUUUCAGAAAAACCUGAAAAGAUUUACAUAAACUGAUACAAAGGGAAGUCAGCUGAAACAGAAGAGCAAGGUGCACAGUAACACCAAUAUUGUAAGGCUGAUCAACUGAAAAAUAGCUAUUUUUAGCAAUUCAGUGAUCUGAGAUAGUUCUGAAGGGCCCAUAAUUAAAAAUACUAUCCAUCUCCAGAGAAAGAAUUGAUGGAGUCUAAAUGAAAAUCAAAACAUACUUUUUUACUUUAUUUUAAUGGAAUGUGCAUGACUAUACAUGUAUAACCUAUAUUAAAUUGUUUGUCUUCAUAAUAAGGAGGAAAGGAGGAAGGGAGUGAGAGAAUUUGGAACUCAAAUUUUUUAAAAAUCAAUAUUAAAGAAAUUUUAGGGAGGUGGUACUAAGAUGACAGAGCAAAGGCAGGAACUCACCCAGUCUCUCCCCCAAACUGUUCCAAAUUCCUUUAAAUAAUGACUCUAAACAAAUUUUAGAGUGUCAGAUCACCCAAAAAGAUGGAGUGGAAUAUUUUCCAGUCAAAGGCAACUUAGAAGGUCAGCAGAAAAGAUUUGUAACACUAGAGUGGCAGUCUGGCAUGCAGUCCUGGUACAGACAAGCCAGCCCAGUCCUAGCCACAGCCUGACCCCAGUCAUCAAGGCGGGACCUCUGGAUCUGAACUGGUGGCAGUGUUAAUGACUGCUGGAUCUCUCAACUGAGAGACACCAGGGAGAGCCUGGAAAGUCAGCAGAGAAGGUCUGUGGCAUCGGGGUGGGAGCUCCCGGUGCAGGGAUAUUUUAGCCAAAUUGCAGAAGUCCCAGGUCAAGAAGAAAAUAUUGUAAGCAUCUCAAAACAAAUUCAAGUAUGUGGAGUCACAGGAUAACACAAGAUUUAGCAGCUUCUAUGUUAAAGGACUGGAGGGCUUGGAGUAUGAUAAACUGCAGAGCACUGGAGCUGGGAUGACAACCAAGAAUCACCUACCCAGCAAAAUUGAGUAUAAUCCUCCAGAGGAAAAGGCAGUCAUUCGUGAAACAGAGGAUUUUCAAGCAUCCCUGAUGAAAAGACCAGACCUGAAUGGAAAAUUUGAUUUUCAAAUACAGGAUACAGGAGAAGCAUAAGGAGGUAAUCAGGAAAGUGAUGUCAUAAGGGACCUAAUUAGAUUUAUCUGUUUAUAUUUCAACAUGGGAGGAUGAUACUUGUAAUUUAUUAGAACUUUCUCAUUAUGAUGGCAGUUUGAAAGAAUAUCUACCUAUAUCUACAUCUCUCUCUAUCUAUAAACAGAGGGCAUAGGUGUGAGUUGAAUAGAAGGGAUAAUAUUUAAAAAAAGGGGUGAGAGAGGAAUGUACUGGGAGAAAGGGAGAGGGAGAAAUGCAGUGGUUUUAAUCAUCUACUAUAAAAAAAAGAGAGGAGAAAAAGCUUUUACAGUAGAGAGGAAAAGGGGAAAGAGAGGGUGAAUGAAUGACCUUACUCUCAUCAGAAUUGGCUCAAAAAGGAAAUAACAUACACACUCAAUAUGGAUAUAGAAAUCUCUCUUUCCCAGCAGGAUAACAGGAAGGGGAAUGGGAUACAGGAAGGGGGAAGAAGGGGCAUAUUGGGGGAGAGAGUAGUUCUGUUGCAAAACACUUUUGAGGAGAGACAAGGUUAAAGAAGAGUUAGCAAUCAUAAUGGUAAAAAAAAUUUUGAGACAAGUUUCUCUAAUAAGGUCUCAUUUUUCAAACAUAGAACUGAGUCAAAUUUAUAAAAAAUAAGAAUCAUGCUCCAAUUGAUAAAUGAUCAAAAGAUAUGAUCUGUGCCCAAAGAGCUAUAAAGUCACUAUUAUCCUUUGAUCUAAUAGCACUGCUACUAGGCAUGACUACUAAAAGAGAUUUUUUUUUAAAAAGGAAAAUGACCUAUAUGUAAAAAAAAAUUAUAGCAACUUGCUUCUCAGGGAAAAAAAAUGGAAAUUGAGGGGAUGCCCAUCAAUUGGGGAAUGGCUCAAUAAAUGGUGGCAUGUAUUUGUGAUAGAAUAUUAUUGUUCUGUGGGAAAUGAUGAGCAGGAUGUUCCAGGGGGGAAAAAAAAAAACCUUGGAAAGUCCUCCAUGAACUCAAGCAAAGUGAAAUGUACUGUAUACAAAGUAAUAGUAAUGUUCUAUGAUGAUCAGCUGUAAAUGAUUUUGUUAUUUCCAGCAGUACAAGGAUCCACAACUACUCUGAAGGACUUAUGAUGAAAAAUCCCAUUCAUACUCAGAGAAGGAACUGAUUGUGUCUGAAUAUAGAUUGAAGCAUUCUCAUUCUCUCUCUCUCAUUUUAAAUUUAAUUUUCUUAAGGGUUUUUUAUUUUUAUUUGGGUGGGAAAUUCAUGUUUUCUCUCACAAUUUGAUUUGAUGGAAAUGUUUUGCAUAACUUCACAUGUAGUUUCUUAAUUGUGAAUGGGGAUAAGGGAAAGAAAUUAGAACUCAAAAAUUUUAAAAACAUAAAAAAUCUGUUUUAAAUGUAACUAGGGAAAAUAUUAAAUCAAAAAUGAAAAUUUGCAUAUAAUUGGAAAAAAUAUAUAUCAUAUGUACUUAUAUAUGUUAUGUGGGAUGGCUCUCUGAGAGAUGAGGGAUACUGGGGAAAAUUUGAUGAUAUAAAAAAUUAAUAAAAACAAUAAAAGAAAUUAAUAGAAAAUACAUCCUCAUUAAUCCCUCUAACUCCAAAUAUUUGGCAAACCUCCAGAGUGCAAGCUCAAUAUGAGACAGUACUGUGAUAUGGUAACCCCCAAAUCUUUUUUUUUUAAUUUUAAUUUUAUUUUAUUUAAUAAUAGCUUUGUAUUGACAGAAUCCAUGCCAGGGUAAUUUUUUACAACAUUAUCCCUUGAACUCGCUUAUAUUUCAAUUUUUCCCCUCCCUCCCUCCACCCCCCCAAGAUGGCAACCCCCAAAUCUAAUACAAUCUUAGACUACAUUAAAAGACCUAGAAUGAAAGAGGUGAUAGAUCCACAAUAAUCUGCCCUAGUCAGACUACUUCCAUAGUAAUAUAUUUACUUUUAGAUGCCACAUUUUAAUGAUAUGGAUGAGCUUGAGAGUAUCCAGAGGAGGAUAACAAAGAUAACAAAGGGCCUUAUGCAUGCCAUAUAAUUGAUUAAAGAUCCUAUGAGUAUUAAUAAAUAUUAAGCAUCUACUGUGUGAAAGGAGCUGUGCUAAGUGCUAGAGAAACAAAAAGAAGAAAAACACAAUCCCUACCCUCAAGGGGUUGAUAGUCUAAUGAGAAUUUUUCAUCUAGAGAUUUGGAGUACGCAAGAAUAUGAAAGAUGGCAUAAAGUAUUUGAUGGGAUUUCAGACAGAAGAGCUAAUUUUGCUUUGGUUCCAAAAGGAAGAAAUGGGAACACCAGGAAGAAAUGACAGCAGCAUAAUUUAUCACAAACAAUUAGAGCUAUCUAAAUGAGGAAUCGGAUGCCAUUGAAAGUAGUGUAUCCCACUUCAUUGGAGUUUUCAAAUGAAAUGAUUAAUGAGCUUUUGUGAGGAUUAUGGUGCUGAAGAAGACUUUUGAGGGUCCUCUAGACAGCAAGGAGGUCAAAUCAAUCAAUACUUAAAGAAAUUAAUUCAGACUAUUCACUGGCAGGUCAAAUUUUGAAGCUGAAUCUUAACUACUUUGGCCACAUAAUGAGAGCAGACAGGAUUCACUGGGAAAAAAAAUCUUGAUGUUGGGAAGGAUUGAAGGAAAAAGGAAAAAGGGAUGAUAGAGGAUGAGAUAUAUAGAUAGUAUCAUGGUGGCAAUGAACAUGAUUUUGGACGGAUUUUGAGAGAUAGUGGAAGAUAGAAGGGCCUGGUGUCCAUGGGGUAAAAAAGAGUUGGAAAUGACGGAAGGACUGAAUAGUGGCAGUGACAAGUGAGUCAAUGCCUUAUAGGGAAUGUGGCCAUAUUCAUUGGCUGAAGGAUGAGGGAGACUCCUGACUGGUUUUCAGUGACUGGAUGAUAGGCCAAAACUCAAAGUAGAUAACUAUUAAAACUGAGCUGACUGGCUUGCUUAAUCUUAGCCACCCCACCUCACCCCAAGCCAAACCUUUUCCAUGUUCAGACAACAGGCCAGAAAGCAGCAGAAAGAACUUGUGUUUGGGGGCAAAGAAGGAAUUCUGGGUAUGCUUAGAGUCUCCUCUGAGGAGGGAUGGCCUUGGAUUAGGAAGCUAAUGGGGGCUCCAGAAGCUCACCUAUAGAAUUCUGAGUAUAGUUCUGGGACUGGAAACCUGAUGGUAUAUUUUCCUAGCACAGGAGAUAGCAAUUGCUGAGAAAAUGAUCAGAUACCUACAGAAAAACAACCGAAGCAUACAUGAUUGCCCACGUGGUUUGAGAAGGGAGUUUACAUUCCUGAACAUGAGCCUCCUGCAUAGAGGGGUAUUGGGGAAUGGAGUGUUCAAUUUUCUAGGCAAAUGUUACACCAGAAACUUGUUUAAACAAAGAAGUAUAAUUUUCUGGGAAGUACCAGCUUUCAGGUUGCCUUAUAAGUGAUUCCAAGUUUAAAAGUCCUAGAAUCCAGUCUUCUCAUUUGAAAAGAGGAGUUGCUUAGACUACAAGUUCCUAGAAUUCAGCCUUCUAGGCAAAGAGUGGAAAUUACUUUGAAAGUAACAUCAAGGUUGAGUUGGGGGAUUUGGUUAACUGGAUACCAUAUUUCUUAGAGAAAAAUCCCUUUGUGGUUACAGAAACAGUACAAGUACUAAAGCCACAUCGUUUUAAGGUAGACUCCAAAAGAUCAGAGCUCCUAUUCUUACAGUGAAUUAUUCAAACAAUACAGGCCUUAUGGCAAAGGAUUACUUGUUCAGUAGCCCCAAAAGUGAUUGUCUUCCAUGGGGAGUCUAAUUCCUGGAAUUGUAUUAAAAUCUUGGGAUGAACUAUAUAGGACUCAGAGGAAUUUCAUUAGACUAUCAAAGGACUAUUUGGAUAGCAACCUCAAUUAGAAUGUUUUUAAUAUUUUCUUUUCUUUCUUUUUAAAGCUUGGAGAUUUUUUUAUUCUUUCUUUUUUUCAGUUCCAAAUUAUCUCCUUCCUCUGUCUCUCACCCAUGGUGAAGGCAAGAAAAACCAAAACCCAUUAUAAAUAUGUAAAAGCAUGCAAAACAAAUUUCUAUAUUAGCCAUAUUAAAAAAAAGAAGCAAGAAAAAGGGGAAAAAAAUUCCAUCUGCACUCUGAGUCAAUAAGUUGUUUAUUUGGAGUUGGUUAACAUGUUUCAUUAUGGAUCCUUGGAAAUGUCAUGGGUCAUUGUAUUGAUCAGAUUUAGUCUUUGAAAAAUUGGUUAGUUUUGUAAUAUUUUUGUAACUGUGUAGAUUAUUCUCCUGAUUCUGCAUACUUUAUUUUGCAUCAGUUCAUAUGAGGUCUUCCCAAAUUUUUCUGAAAUCAUCCCUUUCAUCAUUUUUUUUCUUUUCUUUUCUUUUUUUUUUUUUUUUUUUGCUGAGGCAAUUGGGGUUAGUGACUUGCCCAGGGUCUCACAACUAGGAAGUGUUAAGUGUCUGAGGCCAGAUUUGAACUAAGGUCCUCCUGACGUCAGGGCUGAUGCUCUAUCCACUAAUCUAACUGCCCCUCCCUUCCUCAUUUCUUAUGACACAAUAGUAUUUCAUCACAUUCAUAUACCAUAAUUUGUUCAGCCAUUCCCCAAUUGAUGGACAUCAAUUAUAAAUAUUUUUAUACAUAUGGAUACUUUCCCCUUUUUUGAUUUCUUUUGGGAAUGGAGCUAGUGAUGGUAUUAGUUCAAAUGGUAUGCUCAGUUUAAUAACUUUUUGGAGAUAGUUCCAGAUUUUUUUCUAGAAUGGAGUUCAUAGCUCUGCUAAUAGUGCAUUAGUGUUCCUGUUUUCCCACAUCCUUCUAGCAUUUGUCAUAUUCCAUUUUUGUCACUUUAGCCAAUCUGAUGGGUAUGGGGUAAUACCUCAGAGUUAUUUUAAUGGGCAUUUCUUUACUCCUAGUGAUGCAGAACAUUGUUUUUCACAUGGCUACAGAUUGUUUUGAUUUCUUCCUUUGAAAGCUGCCCAUUCAACCUCUCAGAUUUGUGGAGGAGGAAGGAAUUUGUGACCAAAGAAGAACUAGAAACCAUUACUGAUCACAAAAUAGAAAAUUUUGAUUACAUUAAUGUUAGGGGUCACGGCCCUAACUCCGAGUGGAACAGCCCUCAUGUGACCAGCACUGCCUGUCCACCUGAAAUGGUGAAGACUGUGAGCAAUGAGGGGCGAGAGCCAAAGCGGUGUGAAACUCCAUGUGUUACAAAGACUGCAGCAAUGGAGUUAAGUGACUUGCCUGACAUCCCACAGUUAGUAACUGUCAAGUAUUUGAGGCUGGAUUUGAACUCAGCUCCUCCUGACUCCCGACCAGUGCUCUAUCUAAUACACCGAAUAGCUGUACUUCAUCCCCCUUUUAUGAACAAUAAAGAUUAUUUUCCAAUCAAUACAUAA